AUCUGAAGUUGGGAAGACAGUUUUCAAUACUGUUAUGGAGUCAUUUUGCUUACGUGAAUAAAUGGCCCACGUAAAGUAAUGCAGAAAAGGCGGAGGAUUUGCAUUGCACUCAGCAUAACAAGAUUAUCGACCUGUUUUGGACUUUCUGAAGAGCAGAAAAGCACGAUUUCAAACUCAAAGGUUGUGUAUCCAAUACUCAAAAACACGGCAAAGCUGAAGUGUUGAAGACUUGUGAAGAUGUGGUCGCUUCUUCGCCAGCACUGUUGAAUGUUUCAAAAUAAAUGCCUUGACAGCAAAGAAACCCUACAGAGUAAAGAGAGACUAUUUGUCCCAUUGAGUCUGUACUGACUUUCCAAACAGCAUCCCAGCUCUCUCACUCCAUAACCAUGUCUUCAAUAUGGCCAAUUCACCAAACCUGCAUAUCUUUGGACUUUGGGAGGAAAACAGAUUACCCACAGGAAACCGACACUGACACGGGGAGAAUGUGCAAACUCCACACUGACAGACACUCAAGGCUGGAAUCGAGAGUGGGCCCCUGGUGCUGUGAGGAAGAAGUGCUAACCACGGAACCACCAUGCCACCUCUAAAGAACAGGUGGGUUUGGCUGCAGGUUAAAACUGGUGGAUUUGACAACAGUUAUGGAAACCUUGUAACCUGAAUUGCACUAGAACACAGAGUGUGUGUGUGCGCACGCGUGCGAGCACAUAUAGCGCCCCCACUCCACCAGCCCCCCCAACAAGAAUGAAGCUGUCAAUUCCCAAGUGCUAAAUGCUAAAAUUGCACUGAAAGCUACCAGACAUAUGGGCCCACUGGUUUCCCAAGCUUCCUGAAACUUGCCUGUGAAACUGUGGUAAAUGCAGAGCAGCAAUUGAGGGGGUUGAAGCAAUUUCAGCCAAAGAUGUCAAUAAGCAUUCCGUGCUCAUCGCUGCUUUCUUACCCGCCCGUGGGAAAGGGGUUGCUCAUGGUAUUUCUGCCGAGAGGUUACUUUCUACACUUUGGAGGUCUGACCCUUCACUGCAGGCUGGUAGCUGGCAAUGCUGUCUUGGGCUGGACCUCAAAUGAAGACCAGGAUGACUGGCAACAAUUUGCCAAUCACUGAUCCCAGAGUGGACCAGUUGAGAGGGGCACAUUUGAGAGGUGACUGACAAAUGAGGGGUGCAGCAGGGAGCUGCAACGCAGAGCAGACAUCGCCCACUGAGCAGAGUCAACAAGCAACAGUCAGGCUCUGCCUGAACUCAAAGGUUUUAAGAAAUUU